rnacentral:rRNA from 1 species
UACGUAGGGGCCGAGCGUUGUCCGGAUUUAUUGGGCGUAAAGCGCGCGCAGGCGGCCUCGCGCGCCCGACGUGAAAGCCCCCGGCUUAACCGGGGAGGGUCGUUGGGGACGGCGGGGCUUGAGGGCGGGAGAGGGUGGUGGAAUUCCCGGUGUAGUGGUGAAAUGCGUAGAGAUCGGGAGGAAUACCCGUGGCGAAGGCGGCCACCUGGGCCGACCCUGACGCUGAGGCGCGAAGGCGUGGAGAGCGAACGGG